rnacentral:lncRNA from 1 species
CGGGAUGUGAAGUCAACAUAUAUAAAGCCAGAAUGUUCUAUCCUUGGCCCAGGUGAUGCUCUUGGAACACAGCAAGCAAACACAUGCACCCAAGUAGGGGCAAAGCUAUCCAGAUCCAAAAAUUGGGUGCAACCUAGUUUUGUGCUCCCAGAAGACAUCGAGAUGGCAAGGAAGGCGUGUAACCAAGCCCCUGAAAUAAUCGAUGAGACUCAUCGAUGCUGACCACUAUUUUUAGGCUGCUGGGUCAAGGUUUCUGAUACAUCAUCCUAUAAAGUACACUGCAAGUGGGCCCCAAGAAAGAAUAAAUACCACAGGCAAAUCCUAUGUUUGAAGUUCCAUUGUCUAGAAAGCCUGCAAACUUGAUGCUUAAUUUUCAUCAACAUUCCGGUGUAGUUGGCAGAAUUUUGGAGUGACCUCCCUGGACCACAUACUGCGGCCUCCGACCUUUGUGCAGGACAGAUUGGAAACACUGAUUAUUUU